UUUAACGAGAGUUUGAUCCUGGCUCAGGAUGAACGCUGGCGGCGUGCUUAACACAUGCAAGUCGAACGAAGCAUGCAGGACGGAGUUUUUCGGAACGAAGGAAUGCAUGACUUAGUGGCGGACGGGUGAGUAACGCGUG
rfam:Parasporobacterium paucivorans DSM 15970 genome assembly, contig: EJ69DRAFT_scaffold00027.27